rnacentral:rRNA from 1 species
UGGGGAAUAUUGCGCAAUGGCCUGACGGCUGACGCAGCGACGCCGCGUGUGGGAGGACGCCCCUCGGGGUGUAAACCACUGUUGCCCGGGACGAACCCGCAGUUUCGACUGCGCUGACGGUACCGGGUGAGGAAGCACCGGCUAACUCCGUGCCAGCAGCCGCGGUAAUACGGAGGGUGCGAGCGUUGUCCGGAAUCACUGGGCGUAAAGGGCGCGUAGGCGGCGCGGGCAGCGUGCGGUGAAAGCCCGGGGCUCAACCCCGGGUCGGCCGUGCGAACUCCCGGGCUCGAGCACUGUAGGGGCAGGCGGAAUUCCGGGUGUAGCGGUGGAAUGCGUAGAGAUCCGGAAGAACACCGGUGGCGAAGGCGGCCUGCUGGGCAGUGGCUGACGCUGAGGCGCGACAGCGUGGGGAGCAAACAG